GGCCUCAAGCACUCUUGCCACCGAAGCCUCCCAAAGUGCUGGGAUUACAGGUGCCCGUUCUGGCUUCUGGCCAGAGGCUACCCUUCUCGGCCUGUCAGAAUGACCACCGCGCAGGCUGCAACG